rnacentral:rRNA from 1 species
AACGAACGCUGGCGGCAGGCUUAACACAUGCAAGUCGAGCGCCCCGCAAGGGGAGCGGCAGACGGGUGAGUAACGCGUGGGAAUCUACCCAUCUCUACGGAAUAACGCAUGGAAACGUGUGCUAAUACCGUAUACGUCCUUCGGGAGAAAGAUUUAUCGGAGAUGGAUGAGCCCGCGUUGGAUUAGCUAGUUGGUGGGGUAAAGGCCUACCAAGGCGACGAUCCAUAGCUGGUCUGAGAGGAUGAUCAGCCACACUGGGACUGAGACACGGCCCAGACUCCUACGGGAGGCAGCAGUGGGGAAUAUUGGACCAGGGGCGCAAGCCUGAUCCAGCCAUGCCGCGUGAGUGAUGAAGGCCCUAGGGUUGUAAAGCUCUUUCACCGGUGAAGAUAAUGACGGUAACCGGAGAAGAAGCCCCGGCUAACUUCGUGCCAGCAGCCGCGGUAACAC